AACGCGGCGGAAUGCUNACACAUGCAAGUCGAACGGCAGCACGGGGGCAACCCUGGUGGCGAGUGGCGAACGGGUGAGUAAUACAUCGGAACGUGCCCAGUCGUGGGGGAUAACGUAGCGAAAGCUACGCUAAUACCGCAUACGAACUGAGGUUGAAAGCGGGGGAUCGCAAGACCUCGCGCGAUUGGAGCGGCCGAUGGCAGAUUAGGUAGUUGGUGGGGUAAAGGCCUACCAAGCCGACGAUCUGUAGCUGGUCUGAGAGGACGACCAGCCACACUGGGACUGAGACACGGCCCAGACUCCUACGGGAGGCAGCAGUGGGGAAUUUUGGACAAUGGGCGCAAGCCUGAUCCAGCCAUUCCGCGUGCAGGAUGAAGGCCCUCGGGUUGUAAACUGCUUUUGUACGGAACGAAACGGCUUGAGUUAAUACCUCGAGCUAAUGACGGUACCGUAAGAAUAAGCACCGGCUAACUACGUGCCAGCAGCCGCGGUAAUACGUAGGGUGCCCGCGUUAAUCGGAAUUACUGGGCGUAAAGCGUGCGCAGGCGGUUAUGUAACACAGGUGUGAAAUCCCCGG
rnacentral:rRNA from 1 species